rnacentral:rRNA from 1 species
ACGAACGCUGGCGGCAGGCCUAACACAUGCAAGUCGAACGCUCCAGCAAUGGAGAGUGGCAGACGGGUGAGUAACGCGUGGGAACCUUCCCAAUGGUACGGAAUAGCUCAGGGAAACUUGAGGUAAUAUCGUAUAAGCCCCUAGGGGGAAAGAUUUAUCGCCAUUGGAUGGGCCCGCGUCGGAUUAGCUAGUUGGUGAGGUAAUGGCUCACCAAGGCGACGAUCCGUAGCUGGUUUGAGAGAAUGACCAGCCACACUGGGACUGAGACACGGCCCAGACUCCUACGGGAGGCAGCAGUGGGGAAUAUUGGACAAUGGGCGCAAGCCUGAUCCAGCCAUGCCGCGUGAGUGACGAAGGCCUUAGGGUUGUAAAGCUCUUUUGGCGGGGACGAUAAUGACGGUACCCGCAGAAUAAGUCCCGGCUAACUUCGU